rnacentral:lncRNA from 1 species
AUGACCCAGCAGCCACGGGCCCAGCCGCCCCAGCUCAACCCCAGCAGGACGCUGGAGGGGCCUCCCUCUCCCGCCUCCCUCCGCCGGCGCUGGCCUCCCGGACCCGGGUCUGCAGUCCCUCCGCCAACCCGCAGGCCUCUCCGCUGGCCGGAGCUCUCAGCCACCAGGAGACUGACGGAAGGGGCUUCUGAGCUGCGUUGGGAGCGGGCACUGUCCCCCACCCACUCCUGCUCGGUUUCCCAAAGUCCAGCGACCUCCGACCCUCCUUGGAGGGAAAAUACCAGCACCCAGACACCUCUGCACCCUGUUAGAUGACUGGGCUUGCUUCAGGAAUAUCUUACAAUGAAAAAGAAGGAAGAAUGGCUUGGAGUCGUGUUUACAUCUAGUUCUACUGAUCUGUUCACAUCUGGAGAGUUUAUUUAUAACUCCCUCUAUAACUCUCUGUUUGGAGGCACUGGUGGCUCUAUUGACAGACUGAUGUCUAGAAAAUAUUGCUGUAUCUCUAACCAUACCUAAAUAUGCUGUGGUUGUAUUUACAGAUUUAUGUUUGAGGAAAAUAUAAUUAUUUCCAUUGUAUUUGUGCAUAUACAGUAGUUAUAGGAGCAGAUUUAUAUAUGGGAAAAUAUACGACUCUCUUACAGCCAUCCUGCUUUAUGUACGCUUGAUCUCCUGACAGAUUUAUAUCUCUGAACAGCUAUAUAGAUAAAAAUGUAUAUUGUUAGAAUUAUGUAUCAGGAGAUAUAUACUUAUUGAUUGUGAUAUAGAGUAGUUAGAGCAUUCACUUAGAGCCAUAUAUGGUGAUGGAGAUAUUUCUAUAUUAUUAUCGCUAUAUAUAGGCAUAUCUAUUUAUAACUACAUAGUUAUAAAAAUAGACAUGUCAUUAUAGUCCUAUAUGUACAUGCUGCAAUCUCUCUCUAGAGUUAUAGACACUUUCAAAUAUAACUCUAUAGUGAGAUUUGUAUGUAUAUAAGGUAUAAUUAUCUUGUGAUGUGUGCACGCUGGGACUUAGGCCACUCUCUCAGAACAAUCAUAUUUAUCUGUAGGGGCUGGGAGAGACUUGUUCACAGAUAUCUGCCGAGGGCCAGCUGGAAACGUUGUAUCUGCCCUCUAGGAAAGAAGCUAGCAGAGUUCUGUAUUUAUGGAGGGAUGGAGUUGCAAAACGGUAAAUAGGCUCAUGGAGCCUCCAGGAAGGGGGGUAAAUGGGGUGUGUGUGGGCUCGGUUGAACAGAUCUCGGGAGGAAAGGGGUAAACACUAGCACCCACCAAAAGGUGAGAACCGGUUUUGUGAGGGGCUGGUGCAGACGGCUGUGGUGGAGGAGCUUGGGAAAGGGGAAGCUGAGAAAACUCCAGCCUCCCCACCCCGAGACGUGGUCCACUGAGGAAGCAUCCUUCAGCUGGGCUUUUAGUGCACUGAAGGAUAGGGAUUGUCGUGCCCCCCCUGUAGUCCUAGCUCGUUUCUCUUAAACCCUGAUUUUUAGGUCUCAAAGAGUGGGCUUCAGAGAUAAACAGGUUUAGGCAGGGACAGGGCGGGGAGCAUGGGGUGCACUUUCGCUUUCUGAUAAGUGAGGUAAUCCAGGAGAGUGAGUUCAUUUGGCCAAAUAAAGCCUGUUUUUAUCUGGGCCUCCUGUGCCCUGGCGGGGAUGUAGGAUGGGACUGGAGACCUGGUGGACUGAGGAGUGAAUUUGCAAGAGCUGGGCCCGCUCUGAUGGGGGCUUGGGGAGCUUGUUUUCAUCACCUGCCCUCCUUCUCUGAGGCCCGAGUGGCCUAAUUCCCUCUGGGUACAGAGGGACUCCUCCAGCUCUCUAAUAGUGCUGCCCUGAAACUUUUCGGGGAGAAUUUGACUUUAGGAACAGGGCACACUGACUUACCCCACUAGAUCUCACUUCUCCACUCACAGCUACACCAAACACUCUUGCACCAGCCCCCUUCCCCACUGGGCCAAGACCAAUUCUGCCCCUGCUACCAACCAACCCAGGGGAGAAAUACCUCCCACCACUGCUAGUAUUUGUUUUUCUUUUUAAAUCAGGGAGUCACAGAUAACUUUGUUGAAUGUGCGAAGGAGUUGUCCUGAACUCAGUCUCAGUGGCCAGCCUGCUACCCACCCCAUCUCUAGGAUGCUGGAAAGGCAGUGGAGACCCUUGGACUGGGGCUAACCACCAUGUGCCACCGUCCACACACCUCUGCCCACAGGACUAGGAAGUCCUGCAGCGCAGGGUCUCUGUCUGCUGCCUGGCAAAGUGUGGUUGCCCAAACAUACUUGUUGAGGUAAACGGAAGGACAAUCAACAUGAAAACUCACCCUCACUCUGCACACCACCAUGGCUAGCAGGCUCCCGGGUACUCAGGCUGCAGGGACCCUAGCCAGGCUGGGGGGUAACAUGGAGGCUGGCAGCAGCUUGGGCUCUGAUUGGGGCCAUGGGUAGUAGGGUGGGAGACCAGCCUGGGCCUAGGAUGGGGUGGAGUGAGGCACCUGGAGUCUGGAAAUGUGAGGGUAAGCCAAGGUAGACCCACCUCCCCAGUGUACUUCUGCUUUCUAUCUCCAGUCUCCUGGCUCCCUGGAUCCCCAGACUAUGAAAACUAAACCAGAGCUGAGACCUGGGCUGGGAAGGAAUUGCCUGUCAACUCGAGGGGUGCAAAGAGGAACCACCACUGGGUCCAUUAAGAAAUCCACAAAUAAAACAAAAAUAAAUCAGUGCGAGACAGCCAGCCUGACUAAAGGAAAGCUUUCUCUCUAUGACUCAGCCCUGCUCCAGGGCUACCAAACAGAUCAGGCUUAAUAUUUAAAAUGUUUAAUUUAAUAGUUAUAUAUAUGUGUGUAUACACACACACACACACACACACACACACACACAUACACACACACACAUAUUUUAGAUGGAGUCUUUCUCAGUAGCCCAGGCUGGAGUGUAGCAGUGCCGUCUUGGCUCACUGCAACCUCUGUCUCCCGGGUUCAAGCGAUUCUCCUGCCUCAGCCUCCCGAGUAGCUGGAAUUACAGGUAUGCGACAUCAUACUCAGCUAAUUUUUUGUAUUUUUAGUAGAGACAGGGUUUCACCAUGUUGGCCAGGCUGGUCUCAAAAUCCUGAUCUCAUGAUCCACCUGCCUCGGCCUCCCAAAGUGCUGGGAUUACAAGUGUGAGCCACUGCGCCCGGCCAAUAGUAAAAUAUUUUAAAAAUUUAAUGUUAAAAAGGUCACAAAUUUUCUGAUCCAGUAAUGCCUCUAAUCAGAUUAUUAUUAUUAUUAUUAUUAUUAUUAUUAUUUUGUAUCACCAGUGUACCCUUUUUGGUUCCUGUGAAAUUGUUUUUUUCAGGAGUUUGGAGCUAGGCCAGGCACCGUUGGUGAAUGGGGCAGGUUUGGAGUUCCUCUGCCUAGUGUGGACCCCGGUCUGCAGAGAAGUGUUGGUCUCCCCCUCUCCCGUCAAGGCUUAAGCAAGGAGGACCCUCCCGAAUUUGGCUCCUUUUCCCCUAAGAAUCCUUAGAAGCAAUGCACACCAUGUGACUAGGUGACUAGGUAAAGGACUGAGGUCCAGAGUGGAGCUAUCUUAAACCUGGAAUCCCAUUUCCUAGUCUGUAGCCUUUGGCAGUUUGUCUCUCAGACAGCGAGCCCUCUCCUUUCUCCUCAUGAAUACCUAUGGCCUACAGGCACGGUUGUUACUUUCCCUAAAGAAAUGCAGGGAGGGAAAACUGAUGAUCCUACAUUUACAUAUAUUUGCCUAAGAAGGGCUCAGGGCAGGUGCCUGGGCUCUGCCUAGAAGUAGGGGGAUGGAGGGGGUUGCUUACCCCUAUUGUAAUCUGUAAACGGCAGAUUACAAUAGUGGCCAGGGUCUAUUGGUUUGUCCUCAGCCAAAAGAGUCCUGGGUCCCUUUUACCUGGGUUGGAAUGGCUCUUAGCCGUUUCUGGGUCCCAGACCCCUUUGAGAAGCUGACAAAAACAACUGGCUCACUUCCUAGCAAAAUGCUGGAAGUGCCCUUGACAACUGCAGGAAUCCUAGAAACCUAUGCUCUCUAGAUUGAGUAUCCCUAUUUUGUGUAUUUCCCCUUUGUUUCUGUGACCCAACCUCUCCCUAAUUGUCUGCCUUCGCUUUUGCCCUCCCUAAAUUCCCUUGCUUGGAAAUCCCAAGAAGUUAUUCCCUAAGUAUAACCCCCAUGAUUCUGGGCAGAGCUCCUUUUUUUCUUUUUUUUGGCUAGAGCAGGCACCUGGCAGAGACCUUGCGUGCUUCUGUUGAGCUGUUCGGUUCUCCUUCUGCAGAAACCAGGAGAAUGGCUGUUAACUGAAGCCUAGUCUAUAUUGCCCAAUUACUUGACUGAUUCCGGGCAGCGGUGGGGGGGCGGCGCUGGGGGUUGUUGGCAGCUGCAGAGGGCUGGCUGUAAGGGGGUCAAUUCCCAUCUUUAGUGGAAACUCGGAGCAGGAAGCAAGUUGCAAUUGCUAUUACAGUCAUAAUAAUAACAAUAAUAAUUUAUUUAGCAUAUCAUUAGAUGUGUAUUUACUGUCUUCCCUCUGCUUUUUUACAAGUGUCUCCUAAGGAAUUUUCACAACACCCAGGGGAAACAAUAAUAAGCUAAUUACCACCCUUCAUUCCCUUCUCCUCUUCCCAUCCACAAAGCCCCCAUCUCAAGAUGGAGCGUUUACAGAACCCCUUCCUGUGUUUUACACCUGCUUAACACAUUCUCCCCUUCCCAAUUCUCUCUCAUUCCCAGUUUUUCCAACCUUGUUAAGGAAGUUUCCCCAUAAUUCAGAGGAGGAAAGUUUAGUUAAGGCCCAGAGAGACCCACUUGGUUGUAGUUGUUAUAAGUAUGAAUAUUAUUUCCCUGAUAUCACAGCAAUAUUUAGGGUAACAUAGGAGGAACCAGGUUCUCACUUCUCUGGCUGCUCUUUUUAGGGCAGAAUCUGCCUACACAGGGUUUAGGUACAGACUGGAUUA